GAAUAAUACUCCAUAAUAUUUAUUAGUGGCAUCAUUAAUUUAUUAAAACUACGGUGGUUAGAGAUAGGCAUGCGUCCUAUUAGCUAGUUGGUGAGGUAACAGCUCACCAAGGCGAUGAUAGGUAGGGGGCCUGAGAGGGUUAUCCCCCACACUGGUACUGAGACACGGACCAGACUCCUACGGGAGGCAGCAGUGAGGAAUAUUGGUCAAUGGACGAGAGUCUGAACCAGCCAUGCCGCGUGCAGGAAGAAUGCCUUUGGGUUGUAAACUGCUUUUAUAUAGGAAGAACUGUAGAGACUUGUCUUUAUUUGACGGUACUAUAUGAAUAAGGACCGGCUAACUACGUGCCAGCAGCCGCGGUAAUACGUAGGGUCCAAGCGUUAUCCGGAAUUAUUGGGUUUAAAGGGUCCGUAGGCGGGUCUAUAAGUCAGAGGUGAAAUCUUGCAGCUUAACUGUAAAAUUGCCUUUGAUACUGUAGGUCUUGAGUGUGAAUGAAGUGGGCGGAAUGAGAUGUGUAGCGGUGAAAUGCUUAGAUAUGUCUCAGAACACCGAUUGCGAAGGCAGCUCACUAAGCCACAACUGACGCUGAGGGACGAAAGCGUGGGUAGCGAACAGGAUUAGAUACCCUGGUAGUCCACGCCGUAAAC
rnacentral:rRNA from 1 species